CCCUUAGAUGUCCUGGGCCGCACGCGCGUUACACUGAUGCAUUCAACGAGCUUAUAACCUUGGCCGAGAGGCCCGGGCAAUCUUGUUAACGUGCAUCGUGAUAGGGAUAGAUUAUUGAAAUUAUUAAUCUUGAACGAGGAAUUCCUAGUAAACGCAGAUCAUCAAUCUGCAUUGAUUACGUCCCUGCCCUUUGUUCACACCGCCCGUCGCACCUACCGAUUGAAUGGUCCGGUGAAAUCUUCGGAUUGAGAUUUCGUUUUCUUCACGAAAAACGCUGUUUUAAAAAGUUGAUUAAACCUUACCAUUUAGAGGAAGGUGAAGUCGUAACA
rnacentral:rRNA from 1 species